CAGGUAAUAGUUUAUUAAAACAUUAAUUUUGGAGAUUAAAGAUAGAAGUAUUUUCUUUUCCUGA
rnacentral:tRNA from 1 species